UGGGGAAUAUUGCACAAUGGGCGAAAGCCUGAUGCAGCAACGCCGCGUGAGUGAUGAAGGCCUUCGGGUUGUAAAGCUCUGUCUUCUGGGACGAUAAUGACGGUACCAGAGGAGGAAGCCACGGCUAACUACGUGCCAGCAGCCGCGGUAAUACGUAGGUGCAAGCGUUGUCCGGAUUUACUGGGCGUAAAGGAUGCGUAGGCGGAUACUUAAGUCAGAUGUGAAAAUCCCGGGCUUAACUUGGGAACUGCAUUUGAAACUGGGUAUCUAGAGUGCGGGAGAGGAAAGUGGAAUUCCUAGUGUAGCGGUGAAAUGCGUAGAGAUUAGGAAGAACACCAGUGGCGAAGGCGACUUUCUGGACCGUAACUGACGCUGAGGCAUGAAAGCGUGGGGAGCAAACA
rnacentral:rRNA from 1 species